rnacentral:tRNA from 1 species
ACCUGAAUGGCUCGGUCCAUAGAGCCUGUGACUCUUGAUCUCAGGGUUGUGGGUUCGAGCCCCAUGUUGGGUG